GACGAACGCUGGCGGCGUGCUUAACACAUGCAAGUCGAACGAAGUGGCGCAAGGGUGAGUAAGGCGUAAUCAACCUGCCCUUCAGAGGGGGACAACAGUUGGAAAAGACUGCUAAUACAGAAUACAGAGGGAGGGGAUUGAGUCUGAUUAGCUAGUUGGAGGGGUAACGGCACACGAAGGCGAUGAUCAGUCGCCGGUCUGAGAGUAUGAUCGGCCACAUUGGUACUGAGACACGGCCCAGACUCCUACGGUAGGCAGCAGUGGGGAAUCUUCCGCAAUGGACGAAAGUCUGACGGAGCAACGCCGCGUGAGUGAUGACGGCCUUCGGGUUGUAAAGCUCUGUUAAUCGGGACGCGGUACCGGAAUAGAAAGCCACGGCUAACUACGUGCCAGCAGCCGCGGUAAUUC
rnacentral:rRNA from 1 species